CUGUGGCCGCCCAAAGUAACAAAUUGUAACACUUUUCUGAUGAAUAUUUAUAUCCUGGCUAAUAAGUACGUGUGCUAUCUUGAGCCAACCAUGCAUAGAUCAGCCCUGACAGUGCAGAGCCUGCUGCAGUGCCCACACAGCACCAGCUCUCGGACCUCAGGCAAUGAUCCAGCGUGCAGGGAAAAUUGCAGUGACCCUUCUUUUGGCAUAAGCCUCAAACGUUGGCUUAUUGGUCAGGCUGCCUUUGCUACAGUUCUUUUUCUGCACUGUUGGCUGCAGGAGCCGCAGCCAAGCAGCUUUCAAACAGGGACUGUCCUUUAAUUCUGCUGGACAAUUUGGAAGGAAAAAUACUGGAAGUAAACUGUGGACAUUUUGUAAUAUCAUCACAGAGAAUGGAAGGGCAGCAAUACCUAUUGCUAUACCUACCCCAGGAGUUCCUUAAACAAGAGAAGCCAUCGGUGUGAAUGAGCUGCCAUCUGCCUUCUUUCCUAAUAAUCUAUGUCAUUUCCAACACAGCCUAGUGAAUAGCAACAAUAAAUCCACUAGGAAUUAUUUUGAAGAUGGACACCUCUGGUUUAAAAAAAAAAAAUUCUUUGCCACAUCAUUCACAGGGGGAAAUGAAUUAACUCAUUUCAGCAUUAAAUUAUAGACUGUGGUAGUAUUGUAACUCCUGCUGGAAAAUCUGCAUUGUGCGGUUCAGUUGCUAAUCAGAUCUUCAGUUUAAUAAAAUUGUUUCCAUUUAAGUUUAAUCACAUUUGCCAUUUGCUGCUGCCAGAGUUUCUAAUUGCUGUUAGUAAGGGCUUUCAGGACACUGGGGAACUGCACAUUCAGUUCUUGAUCUGAUCCUACUUUGUGCUCCAUCAUACAAUGGACUGCUUAAAUAAUUAUUUUUAAAUCAUUCUGUGACUAUUCAGCUGGAGUUCUAUCUCACAGGCUACAGGGAGAUUGGAUGCCCUUUGAGUACUGAUGCAAGACCAAGAACUCUAUUUAGUAACAAAAAUGUUUGUGGGAAGUGAAUUUCAAAGCAGUUGCAGCAUGGUGACAAUCUGUGUGCCAUCAUUUAAAUUGCUCAAGUACCAACACAAGAUGCUCAAUUAAGCACUGGUGCCUAAAUGUAGAGACUGUGAUUGAAAAAUUGGAGAAAUAGCUUGGAGCUAUUUCAAGAUUGCAGAAAACUUGAACAUAUACAAAUUUAUAAAAGUAAAUAAAUAAACAUCAGUUCUGUGCAAAA